GUUCUCACCAACGUCCUGCCAACAGCAAGUCUCUUCUCCAAUCCACAUAAAUUCACAGUGAUAACUUCCUGGCGUCGGUCUGUCAUCGCCGUUUGAUCCGCAGCUUUGUGGUCGGGUUGUACCCUGCCAGGACACAAUUUCAGUCAUAUAAAGGUCUGGAGACGAGCUGAGGAGGAGUCAACAGGAGGAGGAAGAUGGAUCACAUCAGCACCAUCUAGUGGCCCGAAAAAGAAACUGAUCGUAUUAUUCUAGUGCUAGAAGCUGUAUUAAAAUGUGUAUUUGCAAAAA